GAGAUAGAGAAAUUCAAGAGCGGAGGAGACAACGAUAAAAUAAAAUGGUAGAGUAAAAAAAAAACGACGAGGACUUGGAGAAAAGGCACGGAAUAAACCUAUAGAAAACAAAGCACAAAGGUGCUGUACCCGGUCGUUUCGCCGCCGAUGGGUGGCUGGGGCUUCGUCAAGCUGUCAUUUGACAGAUUUUUUCCCGGCCACUUUUUUUCACCGUAAAUGUUUUUGUUUUUGGUGAAAAUAAAGUUCUUUAAUUGAUUGAUUGAUUGAUUAAAUGCACAUGCGUUUUUCGAUUCCGCCAG